CUGCCACGUUUUACCUUCGAGACUCCUCUGGUAAAGUAGCGCUCCUGGCUUCCUCCCCAUCAGCCGAACCGUACACCCCCCCAAGACAAAUCCUUGUGCUUUCCUACUCGCCAACCUCGAACCCUCCGUCCGCACUCUCCAUGGUUCCUUUCGGGUGCUGCUUCUCCUGCUUGACCACCGCGUGCUGCUCGACCUCUGAGUACUACCAGAAAUCCUAAGUCCACAGCGAACAGAAGCAGAUUCAGGAGCUGAAACUACAGGGUUUAUUGAUUACUUCUAUCGGACUACAACAUAAACAAAGAAAGAUUCAGGAGCUGAAACUACAGGGUUUAUUGAUCAACUUCUAUCGGACUACAACAUAAACAAAGAAAGGUUAAAUACAAAUUUUCCAUACUGUUUAUUCCGGAACUAUUCAUGCUGCAUUCUUCCCCCCCCCCCCGUUCACUGUAUUAACUUUUUCGGUUACUGACACCAUUAUGACCGUAAUGCCAAUUUAUUCAUCUUACAUUCUUUUUUCCCUCAAGAUCCGCUGUAUUAGUUUUUUCAUUACCGACCGCAAUGCUUUCAUUAUUGAUCUAUUACGUCCCAAAUUUUGCUGCCUAUUGUACUGAGGUUUCAAAAGAACCAAAAAAAGAAGAAGCACGAAAUCUAUAUUUACGGCAAGCAUUUUGAGGCUUCGUCAUUUAUUUUGUUGGAUUUGUUAUUAGUUACACACAUGUCAACUGGCGGUAGAUCUAGGACACGACGUCGUGUCCGCAGUCGUUCUUUAUCUCCACCAUGGAAUAUGCCUGCAUCGUUCCCAUUAGGUAUGCCACUCCGAUUUUUUUUUCCCGAUUUCAUGAAACUAACAAACGUGUUCAGUGACAUCGUACCAUUUUCAUAAGUUUAAGUUAUGUAUGUAAUAUUACUUACUGAUGUUACCCCGUCUCAAAUUCCUACGACACAAAUUCACUCUCCUUUGUUUUUACUGUUGAUAAUGAUACGAUAGCACAAUAUUGAAGAAAUUCCUUAACGAAAUCAAUUCAGUGGCACCAACAAGAUGAUAACUUACAUGCAAUCUGCAUUCAAACUAAAUUGUGUCUUCAUUACUGCCAUGUUUCAUUUCUGCAAAUUGAAGAAUACAUUGAGAAUCAAAUUGAAGGAUCAUCUUCUAAUGAAACUGAUCACCAAUCUACGGCGGAGAUAUAUAGUCAGCAACAUAGAAGCCACUACCAACUGAUCAUAUGAAACUGAAGCCAAUUUAGUAUCAACGUAUAACUAGUGUCAUCUCGACCACCUCCCACAUAUCCGAACCACAAACCACAUAUCCGAACCAUACAACCGAACUAACCACGAGAACUCUCUGACCGGGUGCAAAUGAAACAAUACAAUGCUCAUGACCGAGAUCACGGCAGUUCAAACUCUUUAUACACCCUGCAGGGGAUACUCCUGGACCCACACGACACGAGGACCAUACGGCUUGUGCCACAGGCCAAAGUGCACACAAGGGGUACUUGUGACAACAUUUCCCAACCAGCCCCAACAGUGUGGGGUAUGCAUCGCUCGAGGCGGCGAUACUAGAACUACUCUCGGAGCAAACUAGUACCGCUUACAAGCCGACCCGCUCACACCGUCGAUGUCCACACCCACAAAGCCACAGCUACGAAGGUAUUCGGCUCGCCUUACCAUUAGAUCGGCCUGUGGUGAGUAAGGUAAGUGCUAAAGCCAACUACCUCAACGAUCGGCCAUAAACGAUGCAAGCGGCCUACGGUGUCCGAGUUCCCUUCCCGAACUACUCCCAGACCUUUCUUGAGGGCAGAUGAAACCCCUAACACCGUCCACAUCUCGUCUCAUACUCACCACUCGGCCAACCAACACCAACUAACACGGUAACCAUUGUGAAAGUAACUUAACCUAUAGCUCGCGAAUGAUGGGACGUUCCAUCGCUCAACUUCUACCAAGGACCUAUGCAUUGCUAAGCAUCUCACAUCACUUUUAAGUUAGACCUUAUCAUGAAUAAAUCUAGGCUACAAAGAUAUAGAUCAACAAUAAUUCAAGGAAGAGAUAAUGCGAUCAACAUAGGUUCUACCCAUAAAAGCCCGACAUCGACUUCCUAUACAUGC